GACGAACGCUGGCGGCGUGCUUAACACAUGCAAGUCGAACGGAAAGGCCCCUUUGGGGGUACUCGAGUGGCGAACGGGUGAGUAACACGUGAGUAACCUGCCCUUGACUUCGGGAUAACUUCAGGAAACUGGGGCUAAUACCGGAUAGGAAUCCUUGCUGCAUGGUGGGGGUUGGAAAGCUUCGGCGGUUUUGGAUGGACUCGCGGCUUAUCAGCUUGUUGGUGGGGUAGUGGCUUACCAAGGCUUUGACGGGUAGCCGGCCUGAGAGGGCGACCGGCCACAUUGGGACUGAGAUACGGCCCAGACUCCUACGGGAUGCAGCAGUGGGGAAUAUUGCACAAUGGGCGGAAGCCUGAUGCAGCAACGCCGCGUGCGGGAUGACGGCCUUCGGGUUGGAAACCGCUUUCAGCAGGGGCGAAGCUUGUGGUGACGGUACCUGCAGAAGAAGCACCGGCUAACUACGUG
rnacentral:rRNA from 1 species